rnacentral:rRNA from 1 species
GCUAGCUACAGGCUUAACACAUGCAAGUCGAGGGGCAGCAUGGUCUUAGCUUGCUAAGGCCGAUGGCGACCGGCGCACGGGUGAGUAACGCGUAUCCAACCUGCCUUACACUCUUGGACAGCCUUCUGAAAGGGAGAUUAAUACAAGAUGUUAUCAUGAGUAAGCAUUUUCGCAUGAUUAAAGGUUUACCGGUGUAAGAUGGGGAUGCGUUCCAUUAGAUAGUAGGCGGGGUAACGGCCCACCUAGUCUUCGAUGGAUAGGGGUUCUGAGAGGAAGGUCCCCCACAUUGGAACUGAGACACGGUCCAAACUCCUACGGGAGGCAGCAGUGAGGAAUAUUGGUCAAUGGACGAGAGUCUGAACCAGCCAAGUAGCGUGAAGGAUGAAGGUUCUAUGGAUUGUAAACUUCUUUUAUACGGGAAUAAACGAAUCCACGUGUGGAUUUUUGCAUGUACCGUAUGAAUAAGGAUCGGCUAACUCCGUGCCAGCAGCCGCGGUAAUACGGAGGAUCCGAGCGUUAUCCGGAUUUAUUGGGUUUAAAGGGAGCGUAGAUGGGUUGUUAAGUCAGUUGUGAAAGUUUGCGGCUCAACCGUAAAAUUGCAAUUGAUACUGGCAGUCUUGAGUACAGUUGAGGUAGGCGGAAUUCGUGGUGUAGCGGUGAAAUGCUUAGAUAUCACGAAGAACUCCGAUUGCGAAGGCAGCUUACUAACCUGUAACUGACAUUGAUGCUCGAAAGUGUGGGUAUCAAACAGGAUUAGAUACCCUGGUAGUCCACACGGUAAACGAUGAAUACUCGCUGUAGGCGAUAUACAGUCUGCGGCCAAGCGAAAGCAUUAAGUAUUCCACCUGGGGAGUACGCCGGCAACGGUGAAACUCAAAGGAAUUGACGGGGGCCCGCACAAGCGGAGGAACAUGUGGUUUAAUUCGAUGAUACGCGAGGAACCUUACCCGGGCUUAAAUUGCAACCGAAUAUGGCGGAAACGCUAUAGCUAGCAAUAGCGGUUGUGAAGGUGCUGCAUGGUUGUCGUCAGCUCGUGCCGUGAGGUGUCGGCUUAAGUGCCAUAACGAGCGCAACCCUUGCCGAUAGUUACUAACAGGUCAUGCUGAGGACUCUGUCGGGACUGCCAUCGUAAGAUGUGAGGAAGGUGGGGAUGACGUCAAAUCAGCACGGCCCUUACGUCCGGGGCUACACACGUGUUACAAUGGGGGGUACAGAGGGCUGCUACCACGCAAGUGGAUGCCAAUCCCAAAAACCUCUCUCAGUUCGGAUUGAAGUCUGCAACCCGACUUCAUGAAGCUGGAUUCGCUAGUAAUCGCGCAUCAGCCACGGCGCGGUGAAUACGUUCCCGGGCCUUGUACACACCGCCCGUCAAGCCAUGGGAGCCGGGGGUACCUGAAGUGCGUAACCGCAAGGAGCGCCCUAGGGUAAAACUGGUGACUGGGGC